AUGCCGCGUGAGUGAUGAAGGCCUUAGGGUCGUAAAGCUCUUUCGCCAGGGAUGAUAAUGACAGUACCUGGUAAAGAAACCCCGGCUAACUCCGUGCCAGCAGCCGCGGUAAUACGGAGGGGGUUAGCGUUGUUCGGAAUUACUGGGCGUAAAGCGCGCGUAGGCGGAUCAGAAAGUUGGGGGUGAAAUCCCGGGGCUCAACCCUGGAACUGCCUCCAAAACUCCUGGUCUUGAGUUCGAGAGAGGUGAGUGGAAUUCCGAGUGUAGAGGUGAAAUUCGUAGAUAUUCGGAGGAACACCAGUGGCGAAGGCGGCUCACUGGCUCGAUACUGACGCUGAGGUGCGAAAGUGUGGGGAGCAAACAGGAUUAGAUACCCUGGUAGUCCACACCGUAAACGAUGAAUGCCAGUCGUCGGGUAGCAUGCUAUUCGGUGACACACCUAACGGAUUAAGCAUUCCGCCUGGGGAGUACGGUCGCAAGAUUAAAACUCAAAGG
rnacentral:rRNA from 1 species